rnacentral:tRNA from 39 species
UAUGUUGUCGACUAAUCGGUAAGUCAUAAAUUUUUGGUAUUUACUAUUGGGUGUUCGAGUCGCCCCAACAUAA